UGACAAGCUAAAGAACUGCCUGAAUGUAUGGCCCAGAGAUGACAGGAUUUGGCCAUAGCGUUCAGAGUCCAAGAUACCUGCCAAUCACAAUGCUCCCUAAGGGACUUCUGUGCCGCUGGAGGAUGUUCCUGACUCUAAAAGGUCUGAAAGGAAACUCACAUUUCUGCAUUUGAAGGAACACUGCAACACCUGUAUGGGAAUAGCAUUGCCACACAGUAAACAAGAGGUGGUAAUCUGCAGCAAAACCCAGAGAAGAGCUGAAUUUCCCCCCGACUGAUUUCGUAAGUAGCUAAAACAUGCAUACAAAUUUGAGCAACUUUUAGGAGGGUUGCCAACAUC
rnacentral:lncRNA from 1 species